AUUGAACGCUGGCGGCAUGCUUUACACAUGCAAGUCGAACGGUAACAGGGAGCUUGCUCCGCUGACGAGUGGCGAACGGGUGAGUAAUGCGUCGGAACGUGCCGAGUAGUGGGGGAUAGCGCAUCGAAAGGUGUGCUAAUACCGCAUACGAACUGAGGUUGAAAGUGGGGGACCUUCGGGCCUUACGCUAUUCGAGCGGCCGACGUCUGAUUAGCUAGUUGGUGAGGUAAAGGCUCACCAAGGCGACGAUCAGUAGCGGGUCUGAGAGGAUGAUCCGCCACACUGGGACUGAGACACGGCCCAGACCCCUACGGGAGGCAGCAGUGGGGAAUUUUGGACAAUGGGCGCAAGCCUGAUCCAGCCAUGCCGCGUGUCUGAAGAAGGCCUUCGGGUUGUAAAGGACUUUUGUCCGGGAGCAAAUGCCUGGUGUUAAUAGCAUCGGGAGCUGAGAGUACCGGAAGAAUAAGCACCGGCUAACUACGUGCCAGCAGCCGCGGUAACAC
rnacentral:rRNA from 1 species